UACGGAGGGUGCGAGCGUUGUCCGGAAUCAUUGGGCGUAAAGGGCGCGUAGGUGGCCCGGUCAGCGUGCGGUGAAAGCUCGGGGCUCAACCCCGAGUCGGCCGUGCGAACUGCUGGGCUUGAGCACUGUAGAGGCAGGCGGAAUUCCGGGUGUAGCGGUGGAAUGCGUAGAGAUCCGGAAGAACACCGGUGGCGAAGGCGGCCUGCUGGCAGUGGCUGACACUGAGGCGCGACAGCGUGGGGAGCAAAC
rnacentral:rRNA from 1 species